GGCUCCAUAAUGUAGUGGUUAACAUGUCUGCUUUAUACGUAGAAGGUCCUGGGUUCGCGCCCCAGGUGGAGCCA
rfam:Pteropus alecto contig64383, whole genome shotgun sequence.